GACGAACCGUGCGAACGUUAUUCGGAAUCACUGGGCUUAAAGCGCGUGUAGGCGGAUGGGGACGUCGGCAUCUGAAAGCCCCCGGCUCAACCGGGGAAGGGGAUCCGAAACGCCCCGUCUGGAGGGACGUAGGGGGGCCUGGAACUUCCGGUGGAGCGGUGAAAUGCGUAGAUAUCUGGAGGAACACCGGUGGCGAAGGCGGCAUCCUGGACCGGUAUUGACGCUGAUGCGCGAAAGCCAGGGGAGCAAAGCGGG
rnacentral:rRNA from 1 species